UAGGGAAUCUUCCGCAAUGGGCGAAAGCCUGACGGAGCAACGCCGCGUGAGUGAUGAAGGUCUUCGGAUCGUAAAACUCUGUUAUUAGGGAAGAACAAAUGUGUAAGUAACUAUGCACGUCUUGACGGUACCUAAUCAGAAAGCCACGGCUAACUACGUGCCAGCAGCCGCGGUAAUACGUAGGUGGCAAGCGUUAUCCGGAAUUAUUGGGCGUAAAGCGCGCGUAGGCGGUUUUUUAAGUCUGAUGUGAAAGCCCACGGCUCAACCGUGGAGUGUCAUUGGAAACUGGAAGACUUGAGUGCAGAAGAGGAAAGUGGAAUUCCAUGUGUAGCGGUGAAAUGCGCAGAGAUAUGGAGGAACACCAGUGGCGAAGGCAGCUUUCUGGUCUGUAACUGACGCUGAUGUGCGAAAGCGUGGGGAUCAAACAGG
rnacentral:rRNA from 1 species